rnacentral:rRNA from 1 species
UACGUAGGGUGCAAGCGUUAAUCGGAAUUACUGGGCGUAAAGCGUGCGCAGGCGGCUUUGCAAGACAGAUGUGAAAUCCCCGGGCUUAACCUGGGAAUGGCAUUUGUGACUGCCCGGCUAGAGUGUGUCAGAGGGGGGUAGAAUUCCACGUGUAGCAGUGAAAUGCGUAGAGAUGUGGAGGAAUACCGAUGGCGAAGGCAGCCCCCUGGGAUAACACUGACGCUCAUGCACGAAAGCGUGGGGAGCAAACAGG